rnacentral:tRNA from 5 species
GAUGGUGUAGCUCAGCGGUUAGAGCAGUUGACUGUUAAUCAACGGGUCGAUGGUUCAAAUCCAUCCACCAUCGCCA